rnacentral:rRNA from 1 species
CGGAGUCUGAGCACACACGUUGGCACCCGAAAGAUGGUGAACUAUACCUGGACAGGACGAGGCCAGAGGAUACUCUGGUGGAGGUCCGCAGCG